rfam:Gossypium arboreum cultivar AKA8401 contig_1379_3, whole genome shotgun sequence.
GUCCCUUUCGUCUAGUGGUUAAGACACUGCUCUUUCACGGCAGUAACAUGAGUUCAAUUCUCAUAGGGGACA